rnacentral:rRNA from 1 species
AUUGAACGCUGGCGGCAGGCCUAACACAUGCAAGUCGAACGAGUGGCGGACGGGUGAGUAAUGUCUGGGAAACUACCCGAUGGAGGGGGAUAACUACUGGAAACGGUAGCUAAUACCGCAUACCAUCGGAUGUGCCCAGAUGGGAUUAGCUUGUAGGUGGGGUAACGGCUCACCUAGGCGACGAUCCCUAGCUGGUCUGUGAGGAUGACCAGCCACACUGUGACUGAGGAACGGUCCAGAAUCCUACGGGGGUCAGCAGUGGGGAAAAUUGCACAAAGGGCUCAAGCCUGAUGCAGCCAUGCCGCGUGUAUGAAGAAGGCCUUCGGGUUUUAAAGUACUUUCAGCGAGGAGGCGUUACUCGCAGAAGGAGCACCGGCUAACUCCGGGGCAGCAGCCGCGGUAAUUC